AUACGUAGGUGACAAGCGUUAUCCGGAUUUACUGGGCGUAAAGGGCGUGUAGGCGGUCUUGCAAGUCAGAAGUGAAAUUCCUGAGCUCAACUCGGGCGCUGCUUCUGAAACUGCAGGACUUGAGUGCUGGAGGGGAUAGCGGAAUUCCUAGUGGAGCGGUAAAAUGCGCAGAUAUUAGGAAGAACACCGGUGGCGAAGGCGGAUAUCUGGACAGUAACUGACGCUGAGGCUCGAAAGCGUGGGGAGCAAACAGGAUUAGAUACCCUGGUAGUCCACACUGUAAACGAUGAAUGCUAGGUGUAGGAGGUAUCGACCCCUUCUGUGCCGCAGUAAACACAGUAAGCAUUCCGCCUGGGGAGUUCGGUCGCAAGAUUGAAACUCAAAGGAAUUGACGGGG
rnacentral:rRNA from 1 species